AUCAUUUUAUGUUUAAAAUAAAAUCCAUACUUUUAUAUUAAUGCUUUUAAUAUUAAUAUCUUCAGACUUUUAACUGCGAACUACUUCUUUAGUGUAAUUUGUCUGCGUGAUAAUCGCGGACUCACAAUAUACAAAUCUGUAUAUUGUGGUGCGUCACAUAGGAGAGGUCUAUUCGUAGGCACUGUAACGUAAUGAGGCCUCGACGGGGAGUUUGGGUCUGUCCCGAGACACAGUUAGUUUACUCUAACUAGGGAUUGCGGAUAACCCGAUACCUUAUCCACUGAGCUAUGUAGCAAUAUAAACAGAUAUGGUGUCCAAUUCAUUGAGGUAAUGAAGCUUCUAAAUACUUACUCGUUCUGCAGACAAUAACUUCUCCAACUCCGUUUUGGCAGCACUACGGUUUUUGUGGUCUUGAGAUCUUGAUUUCCAGCGAGUCCAUUGUUCCCAUGUGCCAGGUCCCGUCAAAUCCUUCAUCUUAUCUUGUGCUACAACAUCAAUACAUGUGCACAGAGACUCAGAGUUGGACCAGAAACACCAGUGCUGCUUGUUCAACACAAUGUUGUAAAUGAUUAUGUUAAUUAUUUGAAAGUUCUCCUUACCAACUCUCUCUUCAAUCCAUAGACUUGAAUGUUCAGAUUUUUAUAUAAUAUUUAAUAACAUCUUUCUUACGAUUUCAUAUGUUGUGAUGGCUUCACUUUUCUAAGUUUUUGUGCAGUUGCUAUUAAACGUAUUUCUACCUUCCACAAGGGAGAUAUAACUCACGUACACCUUAGUAACUAUAGUUUACAGGACGACUGAAUAAUGUAGUGAUUCCAAAAUAUACCAUGCUCAUUUAAAUGUAAACUUAAUAUACACAGUGAUGAUUUUGAGGUAUAAGUAUUGUCUUGUCGUUGUGUGUUAGAAUCCUGGAAACUUUUACUUCUUUGAAGUUCAACUUUGAGAAAUAAAUUUCAAAAUAUCUAUUUCUUUCUAGCAUUGAUACACUAUUUUUGGAAUAUAUCAUUUCUUUAUGCAUGAUAUGAAUAAAAUGGGUUUACUGCCA